GAAAAUCAAAAGCAUAAGGCUUAGGUUUCUAAUAUUUGAAAACAAUAGUUGAAUGUUUGCACAAAAGGUUUUGGCAUGGGUUAGAGUGGAGAGAAGAAGAAGAAGGGCUAAAUCCUAAGUAAAGCAAAAAAAGAGGGGAAGAAGAAACAAAACCACAAUGGAGUUCCUCUCUUGAGAUCAUAUUGAUGAUCCAAGUAACUCUCAUCCUUUGGAAUAAGCAAUCACACAAAGC
rnacentral:lncRNA from 1 species